AAAAGAAGUCUGCGAAGAAGCAGAAGGUGGAUGGCAAGAAGAAGAAGAUAGAACCAAAGAAGAAGGCUACUGAUAAAGAAAAAUAUUUUCACUACCAAUCAGACGGCCAUUGGAAGCGGAACUGUCCUCAGUACCUGGCCACCCUGAAGAACAAGAAGGAUGGUCCUUCUAGAGGUAUGCUCAUUUUAGAGUCUAAUCUUAUGGUUUCUUCUACAUCCAAUUGGG
rnacentral:lncRNA from 1 species